ensembl:snRNA U6 U6 spliceosomal RNA
UUUUAGCUAAAAGUAUUCUAAAAAUGAAACAACAGGUUGGAGAUCAGCAUGGCCUCUGCACAAGAAUAACAUGAAAAUUCUUGAAGCAUUCAGUAUUUUU